rnacentral:rRNA from 1 species
UACGUAGGGGGCAAGCGUUGUCCGGAUUUAUUGGGCGUAAAGAGCGUGUAGGCGGCCUGAAAGGUCAGCUGUGAAAACUCGAGGCUCAACCUCGAGACGUCGGUUGAAACCAUCUGGCUAGAGUCCGGAAGAGGAGUGUGGAAUUCCCGGUGUAGCGGUGAAAUGCGCAGAUAUCGGGAAGAACACCCGUGGCGAAGGCGGCACUCUGGGACGGUACUGACGCGUGAGACGCGAAAGCGUGGGAGCGAACAGG